rnacentral:rRNA from 1 species
GAUGAACGCUGGCGGCGUGCUUAACACAUGCAAGUCGAGCGAAGCACUUAAGAAUGAUUCUUCGGAUGAGCUCUUUUGUGACUGAGCGGCGGACGGGUGAGUAACGCGUGGGUAACCUGCCUCAUACAGGGGGAUAACAGUUAGAAAUGACUGCUAAUACCGCAUAAGCGCACAGUGCCGCAUGGCACCGUGUGAAAAACUCCGGUGGUAUGGGAUGGACCCACGUUGGAUUAGGCAGUUGGCGGGGUAACGGCCCACCAAACCGACGAUCCAGAGCCGGCCUGGGAGGGUGGACGGCCACAUUGGGACUGAGACACGGCCCAAACUCCUACGGGAGGCAGCAGUGGGGAAUAUUGCACAAUGGGGAAACCCUGAUGCAGCGACGCCGCGUGAGUGAAGAAGUAAUUCGUUAUGUAAAGCUCUAUCAGCAGGGAAGAAAAUGACGGUACCUGACUAAGAAGCCCCGGCUAACUACGUGCCAGCCGCCGCCGUAA